CUGUUGGCGAUCAGCUGAUUCCCGACUAGUAUUUGAGGCUGGGCCACAGAUCUUUUCAUCGUUGGAUGAUUGUGCUACUGACUUUACCUUCCUGGACCUGUGACCUCCCAGCUGUACGAACGUGUGUGAGUUGGAUGUGAGGACGUGAGCGAGCGUGAGAGAGAGAGCCUUCCCCUAAUCCCUUGGAACCCUGGAUUUUUCCCCGUCACUGUAUAUAUUAUCGCACUGAAUGACAGCAACAUCAAGUGUUUCACGCAGCCAGGCUGCGACUCCAUUAACGGGAGAGUGGCCUUGUGUGGGAGUAGAGUUGCCAGACAAAAGAGAUAUCGGGAGGAAAUUAUAUUUUUACUGUAUGUGUGCAUACACAUUGUGUAAAAUGAUUAGCAUAAAGAGAAAUGGAGCAAGAGGUGCUGUACAUGAAUCAAAGAAAUGUGAGUAAUUAAAUGUCCUGAAAAACUGCAGAGUAUACCUGAACUAAUCUUUUACAAGCAUGAACAUCAUCAUGUCAAUAGUGUGUCUCGGAUCUCCAUUAAGAGUUAUUCGCCAAUCACAUGGUGUCUUUUUAAUUUGUAUACAUACAGACUGUAUGAUGACAUUUCCAUGUGUACCUUUUGCAAUUCCCAUGUCAUUUCCUGCGUGUACAAUAGGGCCUGAAGGUGUUGGAGUAUAGAUAGGGUCUAAAUAAACCUCUCAGCUCUGAGUGCUGGCUGCUUCCACAGAGAAAACCCAGCAGAAUGACCUCCUCGGGGGAUGAACGCACAACACAGCUCCUAUCUUAAUCCUCUCUCCUUUUUCUCUAUUGCUGCCUUCCUCUCUAAACUGCCUGUGUGUGUGUGUGUGUGUGUGUGUGUGUGUGUGUGUGUGUGUGUGUGUGUGUGUGUACGUGUGAGAGUGGUGCUGGUAUUACUGAGAAUGUGGGGACCUAAACCUUUUGAAACAGUGACUUUAUGGAAAUACAUUUUUUUCAUGAGAACAAAAAGCAAGUUUCUGUAACAUAAAUUUUACAUAAUGAAAAUAAGGUUACGUUUAUACUAAGGUUGGUUUUAGGAUGGGAAAUGCAUGUUAGUGUAAUGUGUGUGUGCGUGUGUGGUGGUGGUGGGGGGUCUGAUGCUAACAUCUUUACGUGAAAAUGUUAAAAUUAUAUAUGUAAUAUCUCUGUAACAAUGACGAUUUUUAUAGCUUGAUUUUUAAAAUGCAAGCAUCGACUGCGACAACAUCGGGGUUAUUAAGUGACAAAUGAGCUGUGUCCCACUGCUGCCGCUUUUUAUGAUCCUGCCAGUACUUCCUCCCCUCUGCC